CUUUUGCCCCUGCUGCCUCUGCACACUGCACGCUCCCUUCUCUCUCUCUCUCUCUCUCUCUCUCUCUCUCUCUCUCUCCGAGCCCAGCACAAGAGUAGACUGCCCUUUUCUUUGCUUGGUUUUAACUCUCAGCUUCCCCUUCCUUUCGGAGACACAUAGGCCUUCCUUCCUUGCUUGCUCCCUAGCUUCUCUCAGCUCACACACACAGCUCAAGCAAGCGGGAGGACGUCGAGGGCCAACCGAGUAAAUGGCCGCGGAUGGGGUCGGCCAGGCUUCCCCAAGGCCUCCAUGGCCUCCUAAGGAGCGCGAGGUGGACUCGGAGGGGAAGGCCCCGUGUCCACGUUGAUCACCUCAGAGCAGCCUGGUGUAUCCACCGAUCGUGACGCCUGCUCGCACGCACGCGAAGGAGGAGGGCAUGGCUGGAGGGGAGAGGAGAUGGGAAUGAAGCCGUAUUGGUCCGGGAAGCGUAUACAUAGGAGUAUUUUUGUGUAAGAUCGAGAAAUACGUACCAGAUAAAAAGUCUCAGUUUUCGGGUAGAGGGGAGGUAAUUAAACUGGCAAUCUUAGCUAAUGCAAAUUCUUUUUUCGAUCGAUCGAUCUACCAUGGCAAAAUUCAGCUGCAAUCUGUCUCACCGAAGGACGUGGGCGCUGUCACGCUGGGCCUUUUUUAUA